GUUGGCCGGAGGCAACCCAACACUGGAGCCUACCUGAGCUCUUUGCUGGGGCUAAUGGCGGACUCUGGGAGGGCUCACGCCAAGGAGUCCUUCCCAGAACUUCUGCUUCCGAUGUCCUGGUACUCACGGUGAGCCACAGCCACCCCCCACCUCUGCAGGAGACCCUCCAGCACUAGCAGAGCACAGGCUCCAGACGUGCAGGCUCAGCAGCCAUGGCUCACGGGCCCAGCCGCUCCGCAGCAUGUGGGAUCUUCCCAGACGGGGCACGAACCCCUGUCCCCUGCAUCGGCAGGUGGACUUUCAACCACUGUGCCACCAGGAUAUCAAGAGCUGCUGAAAAAAAAACAGAUGGAGAACAUUACAUUGUGGUCCCAUGGAAGCAAAGCACAUGGAUGAAUCAGCAGCUUAAUACUGACCUGGCUUCUGAUGGUCACUUCUAUGAUGUGUUUCUCAACAACUACUCAAGAUAGAUCCCAUACCACAGGCAUCCAAGCUCGAGGAGGAGAGGUGUGGCCAAGAUGACAGAGUAUGAAGAACUUGUCUCUCACAGGCACCAACAUUACAACUGUUUACAGAGAAACUACUGAUGAGAAAACCCGGAAAACUUGCAGCCUUGUAUUUGGAAUAUAAAAUAUAUAACAAAUGAACAAACAUAACAAAAAUGAAACAGACUUGUAGUUACAGAAAACAAACAGGUCGUUGUAGGAGGGCAGGGGGUUGAGGGAUGAGAGGUGAGAGAGAUUAAGAGCAACACACUUCCAGUUACAGAAUAAAUGAGUCACAAGGGUGAACGGAACAGCACGGGGAAUGUAGUCAGUAAUAUUGUAAUAACUUUGUGUGGUGACAGAAGCUAACUAGGCUUGCGGUGAUCACUUGGAAUGUUUAGAAACAUCAAAUCACUAUGCUGUGCACCUGUAACUAACAUAGUAUGGUAGGUCAAUACUUCAAGUAAAAAAAA